rnacentral:rRNA from 1 species
UACAGAGGGUGCAAGCGUUGCUCGGAAUCAUUGGGCGUAAAGGGCAGGUAGGUGGUCUGAUUUGUCUGGAGGUGAAAGCCUUGGGCUUAACCCAAGAAGUGCCCCGGAAACGGUCAGACUUUGAGUCUUGGAGAGGGUUGCGGAAUUCCCGGUGUAGCGGUGAAAUGCGUAGAGAUCGGGAGGAACACCAGAGGCGAAGGCGGCAUCCUGGACCGGUAUUGACGCUGAGGCGCGAAAGCUAGGGUAGCAAACGGG